GUUGUCUCUAACCUUCUUGCCCUUUGUGCUGUUGUCUGGGCCCAAUAAUGUUUGUUCCAUGUUUUUGUACUGCUACCAUGUUGUAUUGCUGCCAUGUUGUUGUCAUGUGGUGUUGCUACCGUGCUGUGUUGUCAUGUGUUGCUACCGUGCUGUGUUGUCUUGUGGUGUUGCUACUGUGCUGUGUUGUCGCCUUAGGUCUCUCUUUAUGUAGUGUUGUGUUGUCUUAGGUCUCUCUUUAUGUAGUGUUGUGUUGUCUUAGGUCUCUCUUUAUGUAGUGUAGUGUUGUCUUAGGUCUCUCUUUAUGUAGUGUUGUGUUGUCUUAGGUCUCUCUUUAUGUAGUGUUGUCUUAGGUCUCUCUUUAUGUAGUGUUGUGGUGUCUUUAUGUAGUAUUGUGGUGUCUUAGGUCUCUCUUUAUGUAGUGCUGUGUUGUCUUUGUGUUGUGGUGUCUUAGGUCUCUCUUUAUGUAGUGUUGUGUUGUCUUUAUGUAGUGUUGUGGUGUCUUAGGUCUCUCUUUAUGUAGUGUUGUGGUGUCUCUCUUUAUGUAGUGUUGUGUUGUCUUAGGUCUCUCUUUAUGUAGUGUUGUGUUGUCUUAGGUCUCUCUUUAUGUAGUGUUGUCUUAGGUCUCUCUUUAUGUAGUGUUGUGUUGUCUUAGGUCUCUCUUUAUGUAGUGUUGUGGUGUCUCUCUUUAUGUAGUGUUGUGGUGUCUUAGGUCUCUCUUUAUGUAGUGUUGUGUUGUCUUAGGUCUCUCUUUAUGUAGUGGUGUCUUAGGUCUCUCUUUAUGUAGUGUUGUGGUGUCUUAGUAGGUCUCUCUUUAUGUAGUGUUGUGUUGUCUCUCUUGUCCUGAAAUGUGUUUUGUCCUAUAUUUGUAUUUUCAAUCCCAGACCCCCCCCGUCCCCCCCGUCCCC
ensembl:lncRNA